rnacentral:rRNA from 1 species
GACGGAGGAUGCAAGCGUUAUCCGGAAUUAUUGGGCGUAAAGCGUCCGUAGGCGGUUUUGAAAGUCUGUUGUUAAAUCUCACAGCUCAACUGUGAAUGGGCAAUGGAAACUAUGAGACUAGAGAGUGGUAGGGGUAGAGGGAAUUCCUAGUGUAGCGGUGAAAUGCGUAGAUAUUAGGAAGAACACCAGUGGCGAAGGCGCUCUACUGGGCCAUUACUGACGCUGAUGGACGAAAGCUAGGGGAGCGAAAGGG